GUCCUCCCGUUCCCGUUUCUCCUAGCAGGAACCGCCCCAGCCUGCCAUCCCCCGCCGCUCGCCAUCCCUCCCCGCCGCCACCGCUCGCCAUCCCCCGCCGCCGCCGCUCCCAGACCCUAAGCACGCCGCGCUCCGCCGUCGUCGCGUCUUCUGAUCCUCGCAUCACCGCCAGUCGCCAUCCCUCGCCGCCGCCGCCACUCGGCAUCCCCCGCAUCCGCCGCUCGCUCCAUCGACGAUCUGCGCCGCCCCGACCUCUGCUCGUGUAGAGCAUGCCUAUCCCCCGGCCGAUUCGCAGCGUGGCUGGAGAAGGGAGCUCGAGGCCUCGAGCGCUGCCGCCCAUUCAUCUCCCGAGCCCAAGUGCCGCCGGCCGAUUUGAGCCUGUCCUUCGCCGAUUCGAGCCAGUCCGCGCCGAUUCGUCGUCCUCCACAGGCCCUCCGUCCCAAGGUCGUCAGGCUGGAGGUCCCGCAGGUCCACUGCGGAGCUCGCUCACGCAGGCCCACGGCUGGAUCUCGCACGGAUCCGGCAAGGACUGGUCCGGCAGCUCCCUGCUACGACGUUCUUAUCGGGUGGCUUUUCAUUGGAGGCAGUGGUGAGAUUGAAGCCUUAGGGGCUAGGUAAGAGGCCGAGAGCAAUGAGCUCCAAGGGUGUACAAAGGCGCGGCCAGGAUGACAAAUGCGGAAGAGAGACCUGGACCGGAGAGAUACUGCAGACUUCGGGCCCGCCGUCCCAGACCCUACUUCUUCAUCCCAGUGCUGAUUCCAUUUUGUGCUUACAUUGAUGCUUCAAGCAGUCGAUUUGCUUGUUUCUGCUGCGCAGCAACUGCUACAUGGCGCAGCCGAUGGCUUGCUCGGUGGGCAAGCUGCCUGACAGCCUUGCUGGCAAGGAUCCUUAAUGAUGGGGGCAACACAGAUCUAGUGACAGCCAGCGCAUGAUUGAUGCUAGUGACGCAUCAUCUUGUGCAAGACCAAGAACAGCAACAUCGAAUCCGUACUGGACAAAGCAUGAGAGGUCAAUGACAUUCGGAUGUAUCACCGGUUGGUGCGCCAUUGAUCAGCUCACACUGGAUAUAUUCCAUUACCAGAAUAAAUGCCUUACUGAUGCACCAUAGUGUCACUACGGUGCUGAAGUACCUAGUCAUUUACGUGCAUAGGCCGUGUGAGGAGUGUAUCCCUGCACUCGAAUUUCUGAUUUUGUUGUAAUUAUGAGUGCACACAUUCGACAUUCUAGGUGUAGAGGUUAUGAUCUUUUCUAAUUUGCAGGAUAGUGUGGUAUGUACUCAUUUCAACUCAUUCUGACAAGGUCAACAUGAAGUUUGAGUUUGCAAUGUUUUUGCAAUGACAAAUGUCAUUAUUUUUUACCAAGAAAA